UGGGCACCCCGUGGAUUGAUGUGGUGUUAACCCACACAUCCAGGGGAUUUGUUGCAUCUGCAGGCAGCCCCAGAGAGCCCUCAGGAGUCAUCACCCA
rnacentral:lncRNA from 12 species